UAGGGAAUAUUGGACAAUGGGCGAAAGCCUGAUCCAGCAAUGCCGCGUGAGUGAUGACGGCCUUCGGGUUGUAAACCUCUUUCGCUCACGACGAAGCGUAAGUGACGGUAGUGAGAGCAGAAGGACCGGCCAACUACGUGCCAGCAGCCGCGGUAAUACGUAGGGUCCGAGCGUUGGCCGGAAUUACUGGGCGUAAAGAGCUCGUAGGUGGUUUGUCGCGUCGUCCGUGAAAACUCACAGCUUAACUGUGGGCGUGCGGGCGAUACGGGCAGACUGGAGUACUGCAGGGGAGACUGGAAUUCCUGGUGUAGCGGUGGAAUGCGCAGAUAUCAGGAGGAACACCGGUGGCGAAGGCGGGUCUCUGGGCAGUAACUGACGCUGAGGAGCGAAAGCGUGGGGAGCGAA
rnacentral:rRNA from 1 species